UACGAAGGGUGCAAGCGUUAAUCGGAAUUACUGGGCGUAAAGCGUGCGCAGGCGGCUUUGCAAGACAGAUGUGAAAUCCCCGGGCUCAACCUGGGAACUGCAUUUGUGACUGCAAGGCUAGAGUACGGCAGAGGGGGAUGGAAUUCCGCGUGUAGCAGUGAAAUGCGUAGAUAUGCGGAGGAACACCAAUGGCGAAGGCAAUCCCCUGGGCCUGCACUGACGCUCAUGCACGAAAGCGUGGGGAGCAAACAGG
rnacentral:rRNA from 1 species